rnacentral:snRNA from 1 species
UAGAAACUCUAGUUUGCUGCAGGGCCUUUAUAAGACCCAUAGUACAAUUUUUGUAGACCUUUGCUGGAGUAAAGGUA